rnacentral:misc_RNA from 1 species
GAAAUGCGAUAAGUAAUGUGAAUUGCAGAAUUCAGUGAAUCAUCGAAUCUUUGAACGCACAUUGCGCCCCUUGGUAUUCCGGGGGGCAUGCCUGUUCGAGCGUCAUUUCACCCCUCAAGCACUGCUUGGUCUUGGGCAUCGCCGGCAACGGCGGGCCUCAAAAACAGUGGCGGCGCCAUCGUGCACUCAGCGUAGUAAUUUCUCUCGCUGUCGGGCUCGGUGGACGCUGGCCAGCAACCCCCAACUUUCUAAGUUUGACCUCGGAUCAGGUAGGGAUACCCGCUGAACUUAA